rnacentral:ncRNA from 1 species
GUUGGUUCAGGAACUGAAUUAAUGGUUAAGAGGGACAACUCGGGGGCAUUCGUAUCCCUGCGCGAGAGGUGAAAUUCGUGGACCGCAGGGGGACGCCCUAAAGCGAAAGCAUUUGCCAAGAAUGUCUUCAUUAAUCAAGAACGAAAGUCAGAGGUUCGAAGGCGAUUAGAUACCGCCCUAGUUCUGACCGUAAACUAUGCCAUCUAGCGAUCCAAUGGGGUAUUGUAGCCUUGUUGGGGAGCUUCCCGGAAACGAAAGUCUUUCGGUUCCUGGGGUAGUAUGGUUGCAAAGCUGAAACUUAAAGAAAUUGACGGAAGGGCACCACCAGGAGUGGAGCCUGCGGCUUAAUUUGACUCAACACGGGAAAACUCACCCGGCCCGGACACCGUUAGGAUUGACAGAUUGAAAGCUCUUUCUCGAUUUGGUAGGUUGGUGGUGCAUGGCCGUUCUUAGUUGGUGGAGCGAUUUGUCUGGUUUAUUCCGAUAACGAGCGAGACUCUAGCCUGCUAAAUAGUGUCCAGAUAUAUAAGUCUGGCUUACUUCUUAGAGGGAUAAGCGGUGUUUAGCCGCACGAGAUUGAGCGAUAACAGGUCUGUGAUGCCCUUAGAUGUUCGGGGCUGCACGCGCGCUACACUGGAAGAAUCAGCUGGUCCUUCCAUUGCCGAAAGGUAUUGGUAAACCGUUGAAACUCUUCCGUGACCGGGAUAGGGAAUUGUAAUUAUUUCCCUUGAACGAGGAAUUCCUAGUAAGUGUGAGUCAUCAGCUCACGUUGAUUACGUCCCUGCCCUUUGUACACACCGCCCGUCGCUGUCCGGGACUGAGCUGUUUCGAGAAGAGUGGAGACUGCUGUAUUGGGGCUUUCGGGCUCUGGUAUGAUGGAAACCAUUUUAAUCGCAAUGGCUUGAACCGGGCAAAAGUCGUAACAAGGUAUCUGUAGGUGAACCUGCAGAUGGAUCAUCG